CGACGUGAGGAACCUGCCUUCCAGAGGGGGACAACAGUUGGAAACGACUGCUAAUACCGCAUGACGCAUUGGUGUCGCAUGGCACUGAUGUCAAAGAUUUAUCGCUGGAAGAUGGCCUCGCGUCUGAUUAGCUAGUUGGUGAGGUAACGGCCCACCAAGGCGACGAUCAGUAGCCGGACUGAGAGGUUGGCCGGCCACAUUGGGACUGAGAUACGGCCCAGACUCCUACGGAAGGCAGCAG
rnacentral:rRNA from 1 species